GCGGACGUAGUGCACGGCGCACCGCUGGCAUGUGUAACUUCGCCUCCUCCCUUGUCAAGCAGCAGCAGCCGGGGUUCGACUCCCCGCGUCCGCA